rnacentral:rRNA from 1 species
UACGUAGGGUGCAAGCGUUUGUCCGGAAUCAUUGGGCGUAAAGCGCGCGUAGGCGGCCCCGUAAGUCCGCUGUGAAAGUCAAAGGCUCAACCUUUGAAAGCCGGUGGAUACUGUGGGGCUAGAGUCCGGAAGAGGCGAGUGGAAUUCCUGGUGUAGCGGUGGAAUGCGCAGAUAUCAGGAGGAACACCAAUAGCGAAGGCAGCUCGCUGGGGACGGUACUGACGCUAAGGCGCGAAAAGCGUGGGGGAGCGAAACAGGA